UGAGUAACCUGCCCUUAACUCUGGGAUGAGCCUGGGAAACUGGGUCUAAUACCGGAUAUGACUCCUCAUCGCAUGGUGGGGGGUGGAAAGCUUUUUGUGGUUUUGGAUGGACUCGCGGCCUAUCAGCUUGUUGGUGAGGUAAUGGCUCACCAAGGCGACGACGGGUAGCCGGCCUGAGAGGGUGACCGGCCACACUGGGACUGAGACACGGCCCAGACCUCCGUACGGGAGGCAG
rnacentral:rRNA from 1 species